AGUCACUGACAUUAGAUACCCCCGUAGUCCAGGGUGUAAACGCUGCAGACUUGGUGUUGGAAGUCCUUUGGGGGCAUUCAGUGCCGGAGAGAAGUUGUUAAGUCUGCUACUUGGGAGUACGUCCGCAAGGAUGAAACUUAAAGGAAUUGGCGGGGGAGCACCGCAACGGGAGGAGCGUGCGGUUUAAUUGGAUUCAACACCGUAAACUCACCAGGGAAGACUGUUACAUGAAGGCCGAGAUGAAGACUCUGCUAGAUUUUCAG
rnacentral:rRNA from 1 species